rnacentral:rRNA from 1 species
AUGAUGUUCUAUGAUGCAUGUUUCUUGGUGGAGUUUAUGCUUAUUGUUCACAGGGAUCAGCUUCCAUGUCCAGAGUUGCUAUUCGUCUUACGCUCCAACGCACGACAUAUCAAUAAUGAUGUAAUGCUAAUAGAGAACCAGCUCCCCUGGCUGGUUGUGGAAACCCUCCUCAACUUUAGGUCCGUGUCCGUGCAAGUGAAACAGUCAAUUUCAAGGUUGGCAGAAUCUCUCACAAACCGUCGUCUACAACGAGAAAAGAUCCUUUUAGGCUUCGAUGAAGAAUGCAAUCCGCUUCAUGUGCUUGGUCUCCUUCAUUUCUACAAAACAAGCAGCAGGACGGCCAUCAAGGUCAGCAAGAAGGCUUGCAUCAACCAUGUAUUUUCAACAUUGAAUUGUUUGAAAGCCCGAAUGAUUGCUGAGCCUAACCUCAGGCUUGUAGAAAGAGAUAUACCAGCACCCAAGAAAGAAAUAAUGUCAACAUCUAUAAGUGCCAUCGAGCUUGCAGAAAUUGGCAUCAAGUUAAAAGCAAGCAAGACAGGAUGUUUCAACGAAAUCGGCAUCAAGAAAGGACCCCUCUUUGGCGAGCUUUUCCUUACGCCACUAGCACUAACCAGCACAAGGGCAUGUUACCUUGUAAACAUGGCGGCCUUCGAGCUAUGCACGACCUCAGGGGAUGCAGAACAUCAUGAAGGGUUGGCCGUCUGCUCAUACAUCGCCCUCCUUUCGAUGCUCAUGAACCGGGAGGAGGAUGUGCACGAGCUACGAAGGAAGCAUAUUGUGCAAGUCAACUCACAAACAAAGAGAUGCUACAGUUCUUCAAGAGCCUUACCAAGCACCUGA